rnacentral:rRNA from 1 species
UACAGAGGUGGCAAGCGUUGUUCGGAAUUACUGGGCGUAAAGGGCGCGUAGGCGGUCUUGUAAGUCUUGUGUGAAAUCCCUCGGCCUAACUGAGGAACUGCACGGGAUACUGCGAGACUUGAGAUCGGGAGAGGGAAGCGGAAUUCCGGGUGUAGCGGUGAAAUGCGUAGAUAUCCGGAGGAACACCGGUGGCGAAGGCGGCUUCCUGGACCGACACUGACGCUGAGGCGCGAAAGCUAGGGGAGCAAACGGG